GCCAGAUGUGGUGGCUCACACCUGUAAUCCCAGCAGCUCUGGAGGCUGAGGCAGGAAGAUCACUUGUUCCCAGCCAGCUUCAGCAAAAAUGAGGUACAAAGCAACUCAGUGAGACCCUAUCUCUC
rnacentral:sRNA from 1 species